CCUUAAAAGGCCCCAGUGCGUGUUGUUCUCCUCUAUUUGUUUAUGUGUUCUCAUCAUUUAGCUCCCACUUAUAUGUGAGAACAUGUAUUUGGUUUUCUGAUCCUGCCUGCCUUC